rnacentral:rRNA from 1 species
CCUACGGGAGGCAGCAGGGGGGAAUAUUGGGCAAUGGGCGCAAGCCUGACCCAGCAACGCAGCGGGAAGGAAGAAGGCUUUCGGGGUGGAAACUUCUGUUCUCAGGGACGAAGCAAGUGACGGUACCUGAGGAAUAAGCCACGGCUAACUACGUGCCAGCAGCCGCGGUAAUACGUAGGUGGCAAGCGUUAUCCGGAUUUACUGGGUGUAAAGGGCGUGUAGGCGGGGACGCAAGUCAGAUGGGAAAACCACGGGCUCACCCUGUGGCCUGCAUUUGAAACUGUGUUUCUUGAGUACUGGAGAGGCAGCCGGAAUUCCUAGUGUAGCGGUGAAAUGCGUAGAUAUUAGGA